GUUUCUGUGGUGUAGUGGUUAUCACGUUUGCCUCACACGCAAAAGGUCCCUGGUUCGAAACCAGGCAGAAACA
rnacentral:tRNA from 1 species